CCUACGGGAGGCAGCAGUGAGGAAUAUUGGUCAAUGGGCGCUAGCCUGAACCAGCCAAGUAGCGUGAAGGAUGACUGCCCUAUGGGUUGUCAACUUCUUUUAUAUGGGAAUAAAGUGUAGUAUGUAUACUGCUUUGCAUGUACCUUAUGAAUAAGGCUCGGCUAACUCCGUGCCAGCAGCCGCGGUAAUACGGAGGAUCCGAGCGUUAUCCGGAUUUAUUGGGUUUAAAGGGAGCGUAGGUGGGUUUUUAAGUCAGUGGUGAAAGUUUGCGGCUCAACCGUAAAAUUGCAAUUGAUACUGGCAGCCUUGAGUACAGUUGAGGGAGGCGGAAUGCGUGGUGUAGCGGUGAAAUGCUUAGACAUCACGAAGAACUCCGAUUGCGAAGGCAGCCUACUAAGCUGCCACUGACAUUGAUGCACGAAAGUGUGGGGAUCAAACAGGAUUAGAUACCCUUGUAGUC
rnacentral:rRNA from 1 species